AUUCCAGCUCCAAUAGCGUAUAUUAAAGUUGUUGUGGUUAAAAAGCUCGUAGUUGGAUCUCGGCGGUCUGAGGGCGGUUCGCUUCAGAGCGCUACUGCCCUAUAGACCGUAGUUUUGCCAGAGGUCUCAGGGUGCUCUUAACCGAGUGUCUUGCGAUGCUGGCAGGUUUACUUUGAAAAAAUUAGAGUGCUCAAAGCAGGCUUUUACGCCUGAAUAUUCGUGCAUGGAAUAAUAGAAUAGGAAGUCGUUUCUAUUUUGUUGGUAUUCGGAAAUCGACUUAAUGAUUAAUAGGGAUAGUUGGGGGUAUUCAUAUUUAAUUGUCAGAGGUGAAAUUCUUGGAUUUAUGAAAGAUGAACUUAUGCGAAAGCAUUUACCAAGGAUGUUUUCAUUG
rnacentral:rRNA from 1 species